CUUCAGUUUUCCAAGUCAGGUGACUGAAGCCUGCCGCUGACAGACCCACUCUGCCAGGGGUAUCCCACUGCUAAGGACUCAGGUACUGCAGCAAGCCUGACCCAAGGCAACUCCCAGUGCCGUGACACUGUUAUUGCUGGAGACCACAAUCCUGGUGGGGACGCAGGUUCUGCCAAAGUGGUGCCUUUUUCUACCGCCUUAAAGGUGAAGUUUUUCAGCACAACAGGUGUUUACACUAUGAUGAAAAGGCAGUAGGAUGCCAGACUUUGAGACACAUGGAGGAAGUCAAAACUGGUGCCAUUUUUGUGGAUUGGCACUCAACAAACUGGAGGUAACAGUUACAGAGGGGAGGCUUGCCCUGAGAUGUUCUCCCAGGCUCAUGGAUUUCCGAGUGAAAGGGUGAUGCUCAAGACAGAGGAAGAGUGACGCAUGAUUCAGUUCCUAUGGCUUCUCCUUUGUCCUGAAUGAGUGGCAUGAAGAUGCUGCGAAACCACUGCAUGAUGAGCUGAAGUGGAUUGAAUCAAGAAAGAGAAAGUAAAUUAUUUUCUCUAAGGUCAAAAGGAAGUUAAAUUGUCUAAAUACUUAACACUAAUUUGUUCUGAGAAAAAAUAAAGUAGUACACGUUGUCCUUUUUGUUUCAAUCUGAGCCAGUUAAAGAUGGAAUGGAAAAUGUUACCGAAUAGUGUCUAAGAAUGGCCUAGAUAAAAUUGUGAAUGUGAUGGUCUUGUUUUCUUAUUUACUUUGUGGCAUUAACACAAUGUCAUAUGUUAUAUUACAUAAUACACAAUGUAAAAACUAAAUUAUGAGCUUGGUGUUUUAAAUCUGCAGAAUGCGUAUUUGAAAUCUUUAAGAUUUUUCAGUUUAAAUACUUAGAGAUCUAC